AGAGAGAGACAUGCGCGCAUAUCAAUAAGCGGAGGAAAAGAAACUAACAAGGAUUCCCUUAGUAACGGCGAGUGAAGCGGGAAGAGCUCAAAUUUGAAAUCUUCAAGGUUCUACCUUGACGAAUUGUAGUUUAUAGAAGUGUUUUCUGUUAGUGGAGUGGCAAAAGUUCUUUGGAAUAGGACAUCAUAGAGGGUGAGAAUCCCGUAUUUGGUCAUUCCUCCUAGCGUUGUGAUACACUUUCAACGAGUCGGAUUGUUUGGGAAUGCAGUCCAAAAUGGGUGGUAAAUUUCAUCUAAAGCUAAAUAUUGGCGAGAGACCGAUAGCGAACAAGUACCGUGAGGGAAAGAUGAAAAGAACUUUGAAAAGAGAGUUAAACAGUACGUGAAAUUGUCAAAAGGGAAGCGUUUGACACCAGUGUUGUUUUUCCGAAAAUCAAUUACGAAUGUUUUAUUUUUGAGGAGUUAUGACUUCAUCGACUUGCUCCCUUCUUUACGAAACUUUCUUAAUGCACUUUUCGGUUAACAAGUCAGCAUCAAUUUCUUUUGUUGUAAAAGGGUAUGAGGAAGGUGGCUUUCUUUUCGGAUGAAAGUGUUUAUAGCCUUUGACUUCUGCAGUCGGAGAGAUUGAGGUCUGCAGCGUAGAUCCUUCGGGGUUAGAUACAUUAGAUGCUAAGUUAUAGCUUUUUAUAGACAACUUGUUGACUAUGAUUAAGUCAUGUAGCUUACUCGUUAUGCCUAUUUUACCUACGCUUAGGAUGUUGAUAGUCACAGCGUGUAC
rnacentral:rRNA from 1 species